UGCAUAUCCCAUAAGCGGAGGAAAAGAAACUAACCAGGAUUCCCUCAGUAACGGCGAGUGAAGCGGGAAAAGCUCAGACUGAAAAUCUUCGGAGUUGUGGUCUGGAGAAGAAGUGGUAAUCGUGAAAGCUUUCGUAAAGUCGCAUGGAAAGGCGCGCCACGGAGGGUGAGAGCCCCGUUCGUACGAAAGUGGAAGCAGUACUACUCUUCCAUGAGUCGAGUUGUUUGGGAUUGCAGCUCUAAUUGGGUGGUAAAUUCCAUCUAAAGCUAAAUAUGGGUAGGAGACCGAUAGCAAACAAGUACCGUGAGGGAAAGAUGAAAAGAACUUUGAAAAGAGAGUGAAAAAGUACCUGCAAUUGCUGAAAAGGAACCGAUGGGAAGCAGUGUUUGGUCAUGCUUGGUUCCAAGUAUGACUGGUCUCGCUUCCUUGGCUUGUCGUGGGAGAAGGCUAAACCCCUGUCAUGACGCCGAGGGACUGAGACAAAAUGCUUCUCAUCAACCCGUCUUGAAC
rnacentral:rRNA from 1 species